GACGAACGCUGGCGGCGUGCUUAACACAUGCAAGUCGAACGGAAAGGCCCCUUUGGGGGUACUCGAGUGGCGAACGGGUGAGUAACACGUGAGUAACCUGCCCUUGACUUCGGGAUAACUUCAGGAAACUGGGGCUAAUACCGGAUAGGAAUCCUUGCUGCAUGGUGGGGGUUGGAAAGCUUCGGCGGUUUUGGAUGGACUCGCGGCUUAUCAGCUUGUUGGUGGGGUAGUGGCUUACCAAGGCUUUGACGGGUAGCCGGCCUGAGAGGGCGACCGGCCACAUUGGGACUGAGAUACGGCCCAGACUCCUACGGGAGGCAGCAGUGGGGAAUAUUGCACAAUGGGCGGAAGCCUGAUGCAGCAACGCCGCGUGCGGGAUGACGGCCUCCGGGUUGUAAACCGCUUUCAGCAGGGGCGAAGCUUGUGGUGACGGUACCUGCAGAAGAAGCACCGGCUAACUACGUG
rnacentral:rRNA from 1 species